GGAAACUGCUACUCAGUGUUUGGCUAACUCUCGAACGCAGAAUAUUAGGCCCAGAACAACGAAAUGUAUCCUUUUAGUUUGUUCCUGUUGGUUUUAGCAAUUGGUUUCCAUAGUUGUAGUGCAGCGCAAGGAUUCAGCAAUUAUCCAAUGCAGCUCUUGACUGAGCUGAACCGAGUCCGGUCUCGUUACUCACUUGAUGAACUUCAAUGGAGUUCGAUGUUAAGUACAAGGUCCAGGAAGUGGGCCAAAUACUUAGCCAAUCGCAACAUGGUCAUACAACAGCCGAGAAACUUAUACAAAGAAGAUCUUUACUCCAUAAAGGGGCUCGCUACAGCAAAACAAGUGAUCAACAAAUGGGACAUGGAAUCUGCUGCAUUUUUAGACGAAUCUAAUGAAGCAGUUGGUUGUGGUUGGGCCAAGAAUAGCGUCAGCAUGUUUGUGGUAUGCAAUUAUUUCUAAACGAAUUCCUAAAUGAGUUUGCGUAAUAUAAGUGUAGUGUUCUCAAACAGAAUAAAAUUUCAAUAAAUAUUAAUAGGUUAGCAUAAA